UACGGAGGAUCCAAGCGUUAUCCGGAUUCAUUGGGUUUAAAGGGUGCGUAGGCGGCGCGGUAAGUCACUUGUGAAAUCUCUGAGCUUAACUCAGAACGGCCAAGUGAUACUGCAGUGCUAGAGUGCAGAAGGGGCAAUCGGAAUUCUUGGUGUAGCGGUGAAAUGCGUAGAUAUCAAGAGGAACACCUGAGGUGAAGACGGGUUGCUAGGCUGACACUGACGCUGAGGCGCGAAAGCCAGGGGAGCAAACGGG
rnacentral:rRNA from 1 species